GAGGCUGCUGUGAAAGGCCCAACAUGGUACCCACGCUGAAAUGACCCCACAUGGGCCAAGAGAUGGAACUGGGACAAGAUGUGAGGAGAGGCGAGAAGAGACCUUUCUCCAUGACUUCCUGGGGAGAGAUGCUGCGUCCAAGCUCAGGAAAUUCCCAAGGAAGAAUGCCUGCCAACAACUGUCAUCCUCCAACAGAGCCUGCAAACACGGACACGCUCUUGAUGCUCGAAGGACAUUCUGGCUUCCCUUCAACCUUGGCACUGGUCUUCAUCUGGCCCCUUGCUGGUGGCAUCUAUGAGUUGUCUGAUCCCAGGUCUCCUCUCAUCUCAAGGUGAAGUUGCCAAAUAGAAAAACGAAAUACUGGGGAGCCUGAGAAGAUGGCUUUACCAACUUAAACUGCUUGCCACAUAUAUGUAAGGAUCCGAGUUCAAAUCCUUGGCACCCAUGUUUACAAAACAACAACAACAAAACCCCGGCAAGUAUGCUGACA